CAUAUAACGACUAUCAAGCACAGCUUGGCCUUAGGCUUUCGUCCCUGCAACGGGGGCGGGCCUUAAAUACUUUGGCGGUGGCGUCGAGCCUCAAGCGUAGUAAAUAUUCCGCUUUUAGAGGUCUCGUGGUCGCUUGCUCCCAGAACCCCAAACUUCUAAGUAUUGACCUCGGAUCAGGUAGGGAUACCCGCUGAACUUAA
rnacentral:misc_RNA from 1 species